CAGCCAUCAUUUAAAGAAAGCGUAAUAGCUCACUGGUCGAGUCGGCCUGCGCGGAAGAUGUAACGGGGCUAAACCAUGCACCGAAGCUGCGGCAGCGAACGUAUCACCCAAGACAACUUUACGGAGUUGACGAUUGACGGAGCGAAGCGACGUCAAAGCGUUCAUUAAAGUCGAGUUGGCUUAGGGAUACGUUCGUUGGGUAGGGGAGCGUUCUGUAAGCCUGUGAAGGUGUGUCGUGAGGCAUGCUGGAGGUAUCAGAAGUGCGAAUGCUGACAUAAGUAACGAUAAAGCGGGUGAAAAGCCCGCUCGCCGGAAGACCAAGGGUUCCUGUCCAACGUUAAUCGGGGCAGGGUGAGUCGACCCCUAAGGCGAGGCCGAAAGGCGUAGUCGAUGGGAAACGGGUUAAUAUUCCCGUACUUGGUGUUACUGCGAAGGGGGGACGGAGAAGGCUAUGUUGGCCGGGCGACGGUUGUCCCGGUUUAAGCGUGUAGGUGUGUGUUCCAGGUAAAUCCGGUUCACUUUAACACUGAGGCGUGACGACGAGGCACUACGGUGCUGAAGCAACAAAUGCCCUGCUUCCAGGAAAAGCCUCUAAGCAUCAGGUAACACGAAAUCGUACCCCAAACCGACACAGGUGGUCAGGUAGAGAAUACCAAGGCGCUUGAGAGAACUCGGGUGAAGGAACUAGGCAAAAUGGUGCCGUAACUUCGGGAGAAGGCACGCUGACACGUAGGUGAAGUGAUUUACUCAUGGAGCUGAAGUCAGUCGAAGAUACCAGCUGGCUGCAACUGUUUAUUAAAAACACAGCACUGUGCAAACACGAAAGUGGACGUAUACGGUGUGACGCCUGCCCGGUGCCGGAAGGUUAAUUGAUGGGGUCAGCGCAAGCGAAGCUCCUGAUCGAAGCCCCGGUAAACGGCGGCCGUAACUAUAACGGUCCUAAGGUAGCGAAAUUCCUUGUCGGGUAAGUUCCGACCUGCACGAAUGGCGUAAUGAUGGCCAGGCUGUCUCCACCCGAGACUCAGUGAAAUUGAACUCGCUGUGAAGAUGCAGUGUACCCGCGGCAAGACGGAAAGACCCCGUGAACCUUUACUAUAGCUUGACACUGAACAUUGAGCCUUGAUGUGUAGGAUAGGUGGGAGGCUUUGAAGUGUGGACGCCAGUCUGCAUGGAGCCGACCUUGAAAUACCACCCUUUAAUGUUUGAUGUUCUAACGUGGACCCGUAAUCCGGGUUGCGGACAGUGUCUGGUGGGUAGUUUGACUGGGGCGGUCUCCUCCUAAAGAGUAACGGAGGAGCACGAAGGUUGGCUAAUCCUGGUCGGACAUCAGGAGGUUAGUGCAAUGGCAUAAGCCAGCUUGACUGCGAGCGUGACGGCGCGAGCAGGUGCGAAAGCAGGUCAUAGUGAUCCGGUGGUUCUGAAUGGAAGGGCCAUCGCUCAACGGAUAAAAGGUACUCCGGGGAUAACAGGCUGAUACCGCCCAAGAGUUCAUAUCGACGGCGGUGUUUGGCACCUCGAUGUCGGCUCAUCACAUCCUGGGGCUGAAGUAGGUCCCAAGGGUAUGGCUGUUCGCCAUUUAAAGUGGUACGCGAGCUGGGUUUAGAACGUCGUGAGACAGUUCGGUCCCUAUCUGCCGUGGGCGCUGGAGAACUGAGGGGGGCUGCUCCUAGUACGAGAGGACCGGAGUGGACGCAUCACUGGUGUUCGGGUUGUCAUGCCAAUGGCACUGCCCGGUAGCUAAAUGCGGAAGAGAUAAGUGCUGAAAGCAUCUAAGCACGAAACUUGCCCCGAGAUGAGUUCUCCCUGAGACUUAGAGUCUCCUGAAGGAACGUUGAAGACGACGACGUUGAUAGGCCGGGUGUGUAAGCGCAGCGAUGCGUUGAGCUAACCGGUACUAAUGAACCGUGAGGCUUAACCUU
rnacentral:rRNA from 1 species